GUCGGUUGUUUGUGUUCAAGGUGUUGACAGGUAACUACUGAGGUGAAUGGUCGGUUGUUUGUGUUCCAGGCAAGGUGUUGACAGGUAACUACUGAGGUGAAUGGUUGGUUGUUUGUGUUCAAGGUGUUGACAGGUAACUACUGAGGUGAAUGGUCGGUUGUUUGUGUUCCAGGCAAGGUGUUGACAGGUAACUACUGAGGUGAAUGGUCGGUUGUUUGUGUUCAAGGUGUUGACAGGUAACUACUGAGGUGAAUGGUCGGUUGUUUGUGUUCCAGGCAAGGUGUUGACAGGUAACUACUGAGGUGAAUGGUCGGUUGUUUGUGUUCAAGGUGUUGACAGGUAACUACUGAGGUGAAUGGUUGGUUGUUUGUGUUCAAGGUGUUGACAGGUAACUACUGAGGUAAAUGGUCGGUUGUUUGUGUUCCAGGCAAGGUGUUGACAGGUAACUACUGAGGUGAAUGGUCGGUUGUUUGUGUUCCAGGCAAGGUGUUGACAGGUAACUACUGAGGUGAAUGGUCGGUUGUUUGUGUUCCAGGCAAGGUGUUGACAGGUAACUACUGAGGUGAAUGGUCGGUUGUUUGUGUUCAAGGUGUUGACAGGUAACUACUGAGGUGAAUGGUCGGUUGUUUGUGUUCCAGGUGUUGACAGGUAACUACUGAGGUGAAUGGUCGGUUGUUUGUGUUCAAGGUGUUGACAGGUAACUACUGAGGUGAAUGGUCGGUUGUUUGUGUUCCAGGUGUUGACAGGUAACUACUGAGGUGAAUGGUCGGUUGUUUGUGUUCCAGGCAAGGUGUUGACAGGUAACUACUGAGGUGAAUGGUCGGUUGUUUGUGUUCCAGGUGUUGACAGGUAACUACUGAGGUGAAUGGUCGGUUGUUUGUGUUCCAGGCAAGGUGUUGACAGGUAACUACUGAGGUGAAUGGUCGGUUGUUUGUGUUCAAGGUAAUGACAGUGUUAAAUGUUGACUUAGUGUUAAAUGUAAUUGUUAACACAACACAUAACAACCUUCAUCGUUGUUGUGAUUGGUUCAGUGUAGGGGUAAACAGGAAACCCAGUCCC